rnacentral:tRNA from 1 species
GGGGGCAUAGCCUCAGCUGGGAGAGCUACUUCUGACUUUGCAAGCAGGGGGGUCGUCGGUUCGAUCCCGGUCUGCCUCCACCA